GGAAGGAGAAGUCGUAACAAGGUUUCCAUAGAUGAACCUGCAGAAGGAUCAUUA
rnacentral:rRNA from 1 species